rnacentral:lncRNA from 1 species
GCAGAUAGAGAAGAGAUAUCAUCAGGAUGGAUAAGGUCUGAAGGUGACCUAUUUCUGAAUGGCGCCCAGCCUUGUUUAUUACAAGGUGCUGGUGUGGAAUGUGUUUUCAGGGCCCAUGAGCAUUACCCAGCUUGGACAAUGGAACCUGCAUCACCGGCUCUGAAAGAGGUUCUCCAGUUGUGUACAGGAUGGCAGGCCAUACCAAGGUCACCAGGGUGUUAGUACUGUGUCUGUGUGAGGUACCUGCGUCUAAAACAGCUAUCAUAGAUAUACGGCUCCAUGUGUUAUCAUGUAUACGAGUAGAAGCCCUUUAGUUUAGUUUAUUUAUUCGUUCAGCUUGUGUUUAUUUGUUUGUUUGUCGAAUAUUAAAUUGUGCCUAUGUGGCCGAAUGUGAUCUUUGGUAAGCCAUCCUUUUAACUUUGUUUUGAGGCCUGAGACUUCAUCGUGAUUCUUUUCUUCGGCACAAAGAUACCUUCUUGAAAUGCUCUUUUCAUUUAUUAGCUUCCAGAGUGUGAUUCCAAGAAAAGGCUUCUUGUUUGCAAGCCUUCUCAGAAUGUGGCGCAAGGUAGUCUCAUUUAGUAUGGGUCUUUGUUACUAAUCAUGGCAGAUGGCCAGACCUUAGGGUCCUUUGCAGAAUAAGAUUAUAAAUCCCCAUGGUUCGGGACUUCUGAGAUACAAAUUUCAUUAAAGCUUGUAAUUUAGCUGAGUGUACUUUGUGGCUUGAGUUUGUUUGUAACAACAUGGUGUGUUAAGUUUGGUAGUUGCCUUAAUUCUGUUAAUGAUCAAUAGCUGGGACUUGACCUCUUAAUCUACUCAAGUAUUUACCAGAUCAUGACAUGUGGUCAUCUGUAUCGCUCACAUCUAGAACCAUCUUAUCCUGCUUUCAGUCUUGUAGCAUUUAAUUGAUAAAUUCCUGAGUCUAUGACCUUUCUCAUGCUUUUGAUUCUCGGGCCAAUGCUGAAAUUCUUUUGAUCUUGUGCUUGGAAUGUUUGUGUGCCUAAGAAUUUAUCCUAUCUGUUUACCUUCUUAGUAUAGAAACCUCAUGGUAGAUAGACGUUGCAUUAAAAAAUAAUAGCUGUUCUAACCUCUGGGUUGCUCAGUUACACUAAACUGCAUGCGGACAUGCGUCUCGGUUAUAACAAAUCAGUUAUAACAUAAUAUUAUUUUCUAGAAUAGAUACAUCACCCAUGGCUUAUCUUUUAUACAUAUUUGUUUUCUUCUGCUUUGGCUGUCCUCAGUUUAUCAUCCCAUGCUAAAUGCCCUCCAUUUCUAUUUCUAUAGAUGAUGGAUAUGGUUCGCUUCGUGAUGCAUGCCGUAGAAAAGAACCCUUGUGGAUUGUUUUCGAAGUUUCAGGAAUCAUCCAACUUUCAUCGUACUUGAGGGUAUCAUCCUAUAAGACAAUUGAUGGUCGAGGACAGAGGGUUAAGUUAGCAGGCAAAGGCUUACAACUGAAAGAGUGUGAACAUGUGAUAAUAUGCAAUCUGGAGUUUGAAGGUGGUCGAGGACAUGAUGUUGAUGGUAUUCAGAUAAAGCCCAAAUCAAGACAUAUCUGGAUAGACCGUUGCAGUCUGCGUGAUUAUGAUGAUGGACUAAUUGAUAUCACCCGUGAAAGUACUGAUAUUACAGUGUCAAGGUAAGGAGAUGCAACUCAGAUCUUACUGCAGGAAUCUGCACCAGCCUUUAUAUUAUGUUAUGUACCUCUGUAGUUCAACUUGCAUAGAUUAGUUCACUAUUAACUUAUAUGAUUACUUUACCUUGAUCUCAUCUCUUUGCAUUCUUUUGGUAUAAUUUUUUUCAUUUUUGUAUCCAUAGUAUAGUGAGAAUCACAAAUCAGCUUUAGUUAUCAUUACUUGGAUAAAGUGAUCUUCACACUUAAUGAAUAGGCUAAACUUGAUGCCACUUUGUACCCAUCUUUUUCUAAAAUAUGAUGGUUCUUGAUGAGAUGGGUGACAGGCAUCUGCCUUGCUUGUAUUUAUUACUCAAAGUAUGUUUCGCCUAAGCAAGGCAUGCAGAAGAAAUAUCAUGCUGAGCUGUUCUUUACCUUGAUAAAGAUUCUUUAUUUUUGGAUUGUUAUCAUGCUCGAUCUUCUAAAUUAUUUGGAAUAUGAGGUUGGAGGGGCAACAAAAAGGACAGGUGCAUCAAUUGGAAGCAUAACAUUACAAAACUGCUUAGAAACAAGAAUUACUGUGCUUGUUAGUUAUAGGGAAAAUAAUGCAGAUUUGGUGACAAAGGGACUCCACAUGAAUACUCUUGAGAGGGCAUAGAGAGAAAUAGCUACCUACCGUUCAUAAUAUGCUACUCUGAAUGAAACUUAUUUUGCUCGUUACUUUUAUUUUUUUUUCUUAGCUGCUCUUUCAUGUUAUUUGCAGCAGCAUUCAAAAGAUCAUGUUGGAUACUGUUAGUAUUUGUGAUAAGGUAUUCCUUCAGUCUACCAUAAUGUAGGGUCAAGGUUCCUGCAUUCAUGAUCUGUAUAUUAUUCUUCAAGCAGAUGCCACUUCUCGAUGCAUGAUAAGACAAUGCUUAUUGGAGCAGAUAGUAGCCACAUCACUGAUAGAUGUAUACGGGUGACAAUUCAUCAUUGUUUUUUUGAUGGGACAAGACAGCGGCAUCCUCGAGUUAGAUUUGGCAAAGUUCACCUUUACAACAACUAUAUAAGAAAUUGGGGCAUAUAUGCUGUUUGCGCCGGUGUUGAAGCACAGGUCCUUCUGAGUCUAAAAUAUGAAGUUUCUUGUUUAUACAAAUUUCUGAAAUUCUGAUUUUCUUUUAUAGAUCUGAUAUAUUGUCUUUGCUUGCGUUUCUGUUCCAGAUUGUCUCUCAAUGCAAUAUAUAUGAAGCAGGACAGAAGAAGGUGGUUUUUAAAUACAUGCCUGAGAAGGUAUAUUUUCUGUUUAAAUAGAGUUAGAACAUGUUUUUUGCAAUGUUUCUUCAUUUGAAACGGUCUAAACCAACCAAUAUCACAAGAUGUUUUAUUUAAAUUUGUAUUUCGUGAGUUAGAUGAGACCAGGAGGGAUGAUGUUAGAUUGAAGCCAGAAGUGGGUCACUAAAAUAAGUAUGGAUGCUUAUUUUUAUGGAUCACCGUAAUUUGAGAUGCUUGCAUAUUGUGCUAAUGCAUGAAUCGUCCCAGUUAUAUUUUUAAGCUGUGACAGACUUAUGAACCGGUCGGGAGCUGCCUACUUAUAAAUCACAAGAAAAGAAAAGUUCCUAAGAAAUCUAGUACAGUAAAAAUCAUGAAAUUAGGCUUUCGAAUGUGGAUUCUGGUUGUUGUUGGUGCAGGCAGCAGAUAGAGAAGAGAUAUCAUCAGGAUGGAUAAGGUCUGAAGGUGACCUAUUUCUGAAUGGCGCCCAGCCUUGUUUAUUACAAGGUGCUGGUGUGGAAUGUGUUUUCAGGGCCCAUGAGCAUUACCCAGCUUGGACAAUGGAACCUGCAUCACCGGCUCUGAAAGAGGUUCUCCAGUUGUGUACAGGAUGGCAGGCCAUACCAAGGUCACCAGGGUGUUAGUACUGUGUCUGUGUGAGGUACCUGCGUCUAAAACAGCUAUCAUAGAUAUACGGCUCCAUGUGUUAUCAUGUAUACGAGUAGAAGCCCUUUAGUUUAGUUUAUUUAUUCGUUCAGCUUGUGUUUAUUUGUUUGUUUGUCGAAUAUUAAAUUGUGCCUAUGUGGCCGAAUGUGAUCUUUGGUAAGCCAUCCUUUUAACUUUGUUAUUAAAACCUUGGUACCAAGGAUCUAACUUUUAGCUCCAAGGUCGCAUGCUCACAUUGUCUAGUCUUAGGACUCCCAUGGGUUAGAGCUCCUGUAAAACCUUGUAGGGUUGAGAUCAAUGACUAGUCUAGCUAUGCAAUAUCUGUUCCUGAUGUUCAGACAGGUAGGAAUGAGUUGGUGGGAUAUCUUGGGUUGCUUAUCUGAUUCUGUAUAUAAAUCUUUAUAAAGGAAGUCCUUUGGUCUUUUUCCUAUAUUGACUGGGUUAAGAGGAAAAGAUUAUUGUUCGGGGAGUUAUUGUUCAAAUUUACCUGACAGAUGCUACAUAUUCUCUUAAUUGUUUGGCGGAACCUUUCAGGAUUGCAUCUCUUAAACGACAUUUAUUGAGCUUGGCAUGCAUUCAUUUGUCUGUCAUCUCAUUUGAAAAACACCAGAAGUAUACCGUUUCAUGAUGUGUGGAUCACCGUAAUUUGAGAUGCUUGCAUAUUGUGCUAAUGCAUGAAUCGUCCCAGUUAUAUUUUUAAGCUGUGACAGACUUAUGAACCGGUCGGGAGCUGCCUACUUAUAAAUCACAAGAAAAGAAAAGUUCCUAAGAAAUCUAGUACAGUAAAAAUCAUGAAAUUAGGCUUUCGAAUAUGGAUUCUGGUUGUUGUUGGUGCAGGCAGCAGAUAGAGAAGAGAUAUCAUCAGGAUGGAUAAGGUCUGAAGGUGACCUAUUUCUGAAUGGCGCCCAGCCUUGUUUAUUACAAGGUGCUGGUGUGGAAUGUGUUUUCAGGGCCCAUGAGCAUUACCCAGCUUGGACAAUGGAACCUGCAUCACCGGCUCUGAAAGAGGUUCUCCAGUUGUGUACAGGAUGGCAGGCCAUACCAAGGUCACCAGGGUGUUAGUACUGUGUCUGUGUGAGGUACCUGCGUCUAAAACAGCUAUCAUAGAUAUACGGCUCCAUGUGUUAUCAUGUAUACGAGUAGAAGCCCUUUAGUUUAGUUUAUUUAUUCGUUCAGCUUGUG